CUCAUGGUACCCACUUGCGUUCCAUGGCUCACGAAGACUAGAAGGAAUACUCUGGUUGGAACUUUAUUGAAUCUAUAUGUUACAAACAUCCUAAUGAUUGAUUCUUUACUUAGUUUGAAAUGUUUCUUCAACCGCUAAUAUCACUUUUUGAAGUUUUUGUCUGAUAUAAUGCUGACCAGAAUUAGCGUUUGGAUAUGUAUACCAAACGCUCUAACAAAAGAAGGUAUUUUUGACAUUUUUGAACAAAACAAACAUUUGUUGUGGACCUGGGAUUCCUGGAGUGCUUUCUGAUGUACAUCAUCAAAGGUGGUGAACUUGUUGACACGGGUGUAGACGCCUGGUAGGUUGGGUCUGCCGCACCCCGCCCCCCAACUCACGAUUCCUGUGAGGAACCAUCGCCCCUCUGAGCCUGGGGACCAGCACGACAGAGGACCCCCUGAGUCCCCCUGGGGAGGGCGAAAAGGGCACAAGCGGUACCCCCAUCCUGUGACCCAGCAGCGGUGUGCAUGUGUGAGAGUCUGUGAGGUGGCCGGCAGACACACGGGCUGGAUGAGGAAGCUGAGGGAGGGAGGCCAGGGGCUCCUCAGCUGCAGCAGGGCGAUGUCAUAGUCAAAGGUCAGCCUGUUGUAGUACUCGUGCACAACGAUGCGCUGGAUCUCUGCCACGUGCCUGGCACUACCCUGGUACAGCAUACCCAGAUGGGCACUCCACUGGCGCGGGUCUGACAGCCUGGGGAGCGUCAAGAGAAAGUGGUUAGAGGUCAAAGGUUAUGGCUGAACAGGGAUCAUGUAAAUAAACUGUAUUCAAUGAAGUGAAAAGCUAAUUUGGUUCAUUACUGUCAUUGCCAGAGAAAAGUUGCAUGUGGAUGAUGAUGUUGGGCUGGGGUCAAUCUGGUAUCAGUGUGUACCUGGUCCACUUCUAUUCAGUACAGUAGUUAUAACAGGAUCAUAAUGUGGUCAGUCAAUCUGUAGACUGCAUACACACCUGUCCCUGCUGAAGCAGUGUGCUGCUGAGAUGAGCCAAUCAGAAGAGAGGACAGAGGCUCCACAGUACAGGUAGCCAGAGAAGUGCAAGCUGACCUGCCAUGGCCACUCCCCCUCGAGGGCAUUGAUUCCACCGACCACCCGAAGACCCGAGGUCGAGUCUACUUUCUUCACAGUAGAGGACCGGCCACAGGCUGUGAUUCAGAUCGUUAAUAAAACUUUGGAAAGUGUGUGUGUGUGUGUGUGUACAGGUGCAUGUCUCUUAUGUGUACAUUAUGUGUUUUUGUGUGAAUAUCUCUGUGUGUGUGUGUGUAUACAUGUAUGUUGGUGUGUGUGUAAAGUACGGUACACGUGUGCUGAGUCACUUCUGUGACAAACUGUUCUGCCGCAGCCUGAUU